GUCCACGCCGUAAACGUUGGGCGCUAGGUGUGGGGGCCAUUCCACGGUCUCUGUGCCGUAGCUAACGCAUUAAGCGCCCCGCCUGGGGAGUACGGCCGCAAGGCUAAAACUCAAAGGAAUUGACGGGGGCCCGCACAAGCGGCGGAGCAUGUGGAUUAAUUCGAUGCAACGCGAAGAACCUUACCUGGGUUUGACAUGCACCAGACGCUGGUAGAGAUAUCAGUUCCCUUGUGGUUGGUGUGCAGGUGGUGCAUGGCUGUCGU
rnacentral:rRNA from 1 species